rnacentral:piRNA from 1 species
UGAUAUCAUUAUUUGGUAAAA